GAUGAACGCUGGCGGCGUGCUUAACACAUGCCAGUCGAACGAAGCAUUUAGGACAGAUUACUUCGGUUUGAAGUUCUUUAUGACUGAGUGGCGGACGGGUGAGUAACGCGUGGGUAACCUGCCUUGUACUGGGGGAUAGCAGCUGGAAACGGCUGGUAAUACCGCAUAAGCGCACAAUGUUGCAUGACAUGGUGUGAAAAACUCCGGUGGUAUAAGAUGGACCCGCGUCUGAUUAGCUAGUUGGUGAGAUAACAGCCCACCAAGGCGACGAUCAGUAGCCGGGCUGGGAGGGUGGCCCGACACAAUGGGGCUGGGACCCCGCCCCGAAUCCUACGGGAGGGAGGAAUGGGGGAUAAUGCAAAAUUGAGGAAACGAUGAAGCAGCGACGGCGGGUUAGUGAAGGAGUUAUUCGUUAUGUAAAGCUCUAUCAGCAGGGAAGAUAGUGACGGUACCUGACGAAGAAGCUCCGGCUAAAUACGUG
rnacentral:rRNA from 1 species